GAACAUGAUGACAGUUAUUGUCGCCCCAGUCUUACUUUGCAUAUAAUAAUGUCUUCAUAUGCAAAAUUGGUGAUUGACUUUUUUAUCUGAUUU
rnacentral:snoRNA from 1 species